rnacentral:snRNA from 1 species
AUUUAUAACCAUGUGGCAAUAUCGUGACCAAUGAAGGCCUCCUGAGGUGCGAUUAUUGCUAGUUGAAAACUUUUAUUAAGGCGC